AAACAUAAUUUGCUUUGCUCUUGGCAUUUGGUUAAUAUUCAUCUCUUUCACUUACGGGUCUUCGCAGCUUUCAUGACAACACCACAGGCUUCUCUUCAGACAUAGCCAAUAACUGAGAGGGUAAGAUCUUCUGAAUGGGCAGCAGAAUUUGUCUUAAUUUGCAACAUUUUUAAUGUCUGAAAGAUUUCUGAAAGCAAUUAAAACCUCACAAAACAAAAAAAUUUCCACAGGAAAAGCAUUCUGAAACUUAAUAUUUCCAGCAAUAAUAAGAAAUAUGUUCAGAAGUACACUAUUGAUUGUCAGCAAAAUAGAAUUUUGUAACACUACCAGGGAGAACAAAGGUAAAGAUCACCAAAGACAACUUUAGACCUUUAUUGGCUUGUACAUGGUACCAGAAGAAUCUACAUUAACAUGGUUUGCUAAUUAGCAUUUUUUUUUUUUUUUUUUUUUUUAAAGACAGAGUCUCUGUCACCCAGGCUGGAGUGCAGUGGUAAGAUCUUGGCUCACUGCUACCUCCGCCUCCCAGGUUUAAAUGUUCAAGCGAUUCUCCUGCCUCAGCCUCCUGAGUAGCUGAGAUUACACGCAUGCACCACCACGUUCAGCUAAUUUUUGUAUUUUUGGUAGAGACAGGGUUUCAGCAUGUUGGCCAGGCUGGUCUUGAGCUCCUGACCUCAAGUGAUCCACCUGCCUACGCCUCCCAAAGUGCUGGGAUUGUAGGUGUGAGUCAGGAUUCCCCAUCCUGAGACAAUGACCCUGAUGGCAUGGAGCCCAAAGGCAUCAUCGAGAGUAACUAGAAUGAGAUGGUUGACAGCUUUGAUGACAUGAAACUGUAGGAGUUUCUUCUCCGUGGCAUCUAUGCCUAUGGUUUUGAGAAACCCUCUGCCAUCCAGCAGCGAGCCAUUCUACCUGUGUCAAGGGUUAUGAUGUGAUCACUCAAGCCCAACCUGGGACUGGGGAAAUGGCCACACUUGUCAUAUCGAUUCUGCCACAGAUUGAGUUAGAUCUAACAGCCACCCAGGCCUUGGUCUUAGCACCCACUAGAGAACUGGCUCAGCAGAUACAGAAGGUGGUCAUAACACCUGGAGACUACAUGAGUACCUCUUGUAAUGCCUGUAUUGGGGGCACCAAUGUGUGUACUGAGGUGCAGAAAUUGCAGAUGGAAGCUCCCCAUGUCAUCAUGCAUACCCCUGGAUGCAUGUUUGAUAUGGUUCACUGGAGAUACCUGUCUCCCAAAUACAUCAAAAUGCUUGUACUGGACAAAGCUGAUGAAAUGUUAAGCCAUGGAUUCAAGGACCAGAUCUAUGUCAUAUUCCAAAGUUUAACAGCAACACCCAGGUAGUUUGCUGUCAGCUACAAUGCUUUCUUAUGUAGUUGAUCCUGGAGAGUAUCCACCAAUUCUGCAUCAAUGUGGAACAAGAGAAGUGGAAGCUGGACACACUGCGUGACUUGUAUGAAACUCUGACCAUCACCCAGGCAAGUCAUCUUCACCAACACUCGAAGGAAGGUGGGCUGACUCACUGAGAAGAUGCAUGCUUGGGUUUUCACUGUCUCUGCUGUGCAUGGAGAUACGGACCAACAGAAAUGAGAUGUGGUAAUUAGCUUUUAUCUGCUGUUUAUUUGCCUUCCCACAAGUUGCUGCUUCUAGAGUCUCAAAGUCCUUUUCCUGUGUCUUAGUACUUAUCUAAAAAUUUACUGUUUUUUUUUAAGAUGCUAGGUAUGCAAAUAGAAAUUCAAAGCCAACUUUUUGAAAAUUACUCAUUCCCUGGGUGUCUCACACAUCUGUAUGAAAUAUACAUGUUAAUGAACUUCUGUUUGUUUUCCUCUUGUUAAUCUGUUCUUUGUUACAGUGGUCCUUUUUAACUAAGAAUUUAUGAGGGUUGAAGAAAAAUUAUUUUUCUUCUUUUGCAUUUGUGACAAGCUCUGGUCUCAGAACCACAAGAGAGAAUCCUGGGAUUCUGUAUUUAAGUCAUACAUCCGUGUCUGCAUUCAGAACGCAUCUCCCAGCAAGUAAAAGGGCUCUGGUAGAGACUGAGCAGCUGAACCCAGCACAUCAAGUGACCAUGUGACCACAACUGCCCAUCUUGCACUGUAUAUAUGUUAUUUUCACAAGCUCCAAAGUCAAGAAGGCCUAGCAACAAUGCAUUUUAAGAAGAAAGCAAUAUAUAUGGGAUCAGGCACAAAGAAUCUUGGAGGGUGAGAUUAAUCUACACAGCGGGUCGCCCAGACCAUUUCAUUCUUCCUUGUUGCACCCAGCAUCUCUCUUUUGGUAUGGGGGAAAUUUUUUACAGCCAUCUGACAGAGGAGGAAAAAGGUUGAGUUUGUUUCCCAAGGGCCUCACCUUUGUAAGCGGGUUCAAACUGAAAAUCAGUUAUUGUUAUACAAUAGUCCCACUCAUAGAUGUUGCAAAACGACUGGUGAUUAUACAUUUAUCCCAAUAGGCAGAUCUUAGGGUGGUAUAAGUUGUCAUCCACUUUACAUGGAAAUAGAAAGUCCAUGGUAGGAGUAUGUACAGACACAUUUACAGAAGCUAAUGGUUUGAUUGGUUUGAUAGAGCUUGAAGGAAAAAGAUUGGAAGAACUGGGACACGCAGAUGAACUUACAGUAAUGGGAACAAAGUAUAAAGAUCUAUGUAUGACAUUUUAAUACCCACCACAGAACAUUCACAAAGAAGAGGCACUAACAGUGCAGAUUUAACAGCAGCUUGUUGAUAUCAGCCAGCAUCGCAUCUAUGCUCAGACACCCUUUUGCUGCAGCAGAGACUCAAGCACAGGGUAGCCACGGUAGUGGAGAUGGAGCCAUGCAGGGCCUGACAGCACAGAAUCCCACUCAAUAAGGUUGAUCUGGCUACUUCUCUAGUAAAAUUCCCAAUAACUUAGCAACUGAGAUCAACUGUCAGUCUCUAAUAUGGCACCUUAAGAUAACCAACCAGGCAUUUGGUAGCAAGUUGCUACCCUUGGACUUCUGCUCUAAAAGGGACAUGAUUCACCUUGAUUAUAUUUUAGGUAUUGGCUUCCUGUUCCUAACCUCAAGACCUAAGCCAGUUACACUACCACAAAGUUUACUAAAUAUUUGAGCCAUCACACAGGAUUCUGCUUAUAAUCUCUUCAGAUAAAGGGAAUCAUUUUACACAAAUGAUUAACAUAAAAGAAGGAGAAUACAACCACAAAGUAUAUUGGUCUUAUAUACUGUAUUCCACAACAUGCCAACAACUGUCAGCUGAUGGAGCAAAUAAAUUGCCUUUUCUCUUUUUCAGCUAUAUCAAGGUAGAAUUGACAAAUAAAAAAUUGUAUAUAUUUGGCUGGGCGUGGUGGCUCACGCCUGUAAUCCAAGAACUUUGAGAGGCAGAGGCGGGCAGGUCAUGAGGUCAGGAGAUUGAGAACAUCCUGGCCAACAUGGUAAAACCUGUCUUGACUAAAACUACAAAAAUUAGCUGGGCAUGGUGGUGCAUGCCUGUAGUCCCAGCUACUUGGGAGGCUGAGGCAGGAGGAUUGCUUGAACCUGGGAGGCGGAGGUUGCAGUAAGCUGAGAUCUUGCCACUGCACUCCAGCCUGGUGACAGAGGGAGACCCUGUGUCAAAAAAAAAAAAAAAAAAAAAAUUGUAUAUAUUCAAGGUGUACAAUGUGUACCUCUGGGUUAUUUAAUUAAUCUCAUGUUUUAGGAUUAUAAAAUCUAGAAUUAUGUAGAUGAAAUAAUUCAACGUGGUUUUUCAGAUGAUGUGGCAAAAAUUGUACGUCUAUAUGCAAAAAUAAAUGUGAAUCACACCUUGCACCACAUGCAGAAAUUAUAAAACAUCUCCAAGGAGAUGUCCAAAAAAAAAAAACCCAAGAGACAACCUUGGGUUAAGUUUAGACUCAACAUCCAGCAACAUGAAUCAUAAAAGGAAAAUGAAAUAUAUUGGCAUUCAACAAAAUUAAAAAAAAAAGAACGAUUUGCUCUUUGAAUGACACUGUUAAAAAAAUCAAAGAAAAAGUCACAGUCUGGUAGAAAACAUUUCAAAACAUAUAUAUAUAUAAAAUGAAAGUCUGUUACUAAAAAUAUAUUUAAAAUUUUCACAACUGAAUAAUGAUAAAAAAUUAAAAAUGGGCAAAAUAUAAAACUUUAUUCAAGGAAAUAUGUGGAUGCACAUUAACAUAUGAAAUGAUUCUAUACAUCAUUUUAUUUAGGGAAAUGCAAAUUAAGACCACGAUGUGGUAGCGUACAUCUGUUAGAAUGGCUUUAAAGCAAAACUGGUAGUAUCAAGUUGUGGUGAGCAUGCAGAUCAAUUGGAAAUCUCAUGCAAUGCUAGUGGUAAUGCAAAAUGACACAGCUAUUUUUGAAAAUGAUGCAGCUACUUUUGAAAAUACUUUGAUGCUUUCUCAUAAAGUUAAACAUCUAUUCAGCAUACAACACAGCAAUACCACUCCUAGGUGGAUAUAAAAGAGAAUUGAAAGCAUAUGUUUGUAUAAAUAUCUAUACACCCAUGCUUAUAUCAGUCUUGCUCCUAAUUACCCAAAUUAAAGCCAAAUGUCCAUCAAUAAGGAAAAUAUUUAUACAAAUUAUGGUACAUCUAAACAAUGGAAUAAAAAACAGCAAUGCAACAACAUUAAUGAUUCACAAAUGUAUUAGACUAAUUGAAAUAAACCAGAAGCAAAUGGUAGUGCAUAUAGUAUGAUUUCACUCGUAUGACAUUUUGGAAAAGGCAAAACUAUAUGGACAGAAAAGAGACCAUUGUUUGUUAAGGGCUGAAUAUGGGAGAAAGAAUUGACCACAAACUUGCAUAAGGGAAUUUUUUUAGAUGAUGGAAAUGCUCUAUGUCUUAAAUGUAAUGAUGAUUUCUUGACUACAUGCAUUUAUCAGAAUGCAUAGAACUGUACAACCAAAAGGAAUUAAUUUGUCUAUGAGUAAAUUAUAUCCCAAUACAUGUAAAUUAAUUUAGUAGCACAAGAAGAACUUAGGACAAUUUCUGGUACAAGUAAGUGUCCAAGAAACACUAGCUGCUAUUGUUAUCAUCAUCACCAUUAUUGAAAUGACCAGAAUAGUUUUAAUAAGUGAAUAAUAAGCCACAAAAAUAAUAAGUUACAGUUUUUAUAAUAUAGGAUGAGACAGUAAUACAAAUUUAUUCAAUUUCAUAGUCAAAUAUUUAGAUGGUCAAAUGAAUAAGACUAUAAAAGCACAUAUAAGCUAAAUCUCAAAUCUGCAUUUAGAAUUAACAGUGAAUAUUACAUAGUUUUUUUUUACAGUAUUCUAACUAAAUUUUCAAAACAGAUUAAAAGUGUCUGUGCAUGCAUUUAUUCAUGCAAUAUUUAUUGACCAUUUACCAUGUGUAAGUCCUAUGCUAUGCACUGGGACUAUUAGUGCUAUGACCCUGAACUAAAUCUAUUAGUUUAGAAAUUAUCAAUAAUAAUUUUACUCUUACAUAAUCUAGUGUAUUGUAUAAUCAAACAUGUAACAGCAGUUAAGUCAAAAAUAUUCAGAAAGAAAACCAGGGUCAACCUGAAGACUGAAUGUAUGUUUAUAAUUUUUAAAGGAGAAUUUUUCUGUGCUAUAUAGUUGGUGGAAGUCAAGUCAACUGGAACAAUUGAAGAUAAAGUAUGUAUGUAAAUACUGUUAAAGUUAGGAAAAACACUAAUGAAAAAGUUUAAUGGAAAGUUGGGAUCUAGUUAUGUUUGAAUAAAGAAUGUUUCAGUUACCAUGGCUACAUAACAAAUUAUCUCAAAUCUAGUAUUUACAAAAAAUACUAUUUUACUAAUAUUGGAUUCUAGUAAAUUACUGUCACGGAUUCUGAGGUUCAGCAUGGCUUGCCUCUUCUCCACAAUACCUAGGGUUAUACUUGGAAAGGCUUGCUGGCUGGAGGCUGGAAUCUUCAGAAGACAUCUUUCCUCACAUGUGUGGUUGUUGACGCAGGUUGUUGGCUGAAACCUAAACCGAGCUGUGCAUUAGAACUCCUAAAGUGGCCUCUUCUUGUCUAAUUCAUAUCUUAAUAAUAGUUGUAAACUCAGUAAUAGCUUUUCUAAAACCCCAAUUUAAAAAUGGGCAAAACAUGUUAGUUUAUUUAGAAAUAUUUUUACCUAGAAGUUUAUUUAGAGGAACCUGGACCCCUGGCUCAUGAUUGGGAACAGCACCUCUGAAGGCUGAAUGUCUGCAUUGAACUUGAUGGAGUAAGGAUAAAUUUUACUCUCCACUGACAUCUAGAGGGGGUGUUUUUGGAGAGGAAGAUUUGGACUUCUUUCUAGCAUGGUGGCUGACAGCAAACAUCCUCAGAGAACAAAGUGAAUAUGCCUAGCAUUUUUACAACCAGACCUUGGAAUUGUCAUGGCGUCAUUUUAGCUUAUUCUAUUGGUUGAAAUAGUCACAAAAAUCUACUCUGCUGAAACACUUGGGGUUAGGGGUGGCAGCACAUUACCAUGGGCAAUGGGAGGAAAAUCAAGAUCACAUUAACAAGAGCAUGAAAGACGGGCCAUUUUGGAAGAUGCAAUCGUCCACAAAAUGUGAGUAUUUGUCAUCGGAUUAUAUGAAUAUUGAUAUAAUUAGCAAUUGGUAGGUCUCCUUUUGGAAAUAUAGUAAUUGACAUGAGAGCUAAGUGAACAUUACAAAAUUGGCCUUAAAUAAUUAGGUCCCCAGCUUAGUCAGGAGUCUCAUUAAUCAUUUUCAUUCUAUAGGAAAGUUUGCCAUUAAUAUUCAGGUCAUACAAGCAAAAGCAGAUAUUUAUAGAUAGCCAGAAUCGCACUGUUUAGCAGACAUGUAUUCAUAACAUUAUGUGCUAAGCACUAACUACACCUAGUAAAGACAUCAUGUUUUCCACAUAAAACUACUAUAUUAAGUACUCUGCUAGUAUGAGUAUUUUCUUUUACCACACAGUGACCUGUAUUUUACUUUCGGAGAAAAAUUUUUUCAGCUUACAAAAUGUUAGCUGGAUAUUUACCACUUUUAUUACCUUCAUGGAAGUCCAGCUAGACUAAUACGCCUUUUGAAGAAUGAGCUAAGAUGAGGCAUUUGAUAAAUUUCUUACAGCUAUUGUUUUCCCUGAUAUUAUUUUUAUGGCAUGGAAUUAAACGUUACAAAAUAUCAGUUUACAAUGACUGGAAAAUCCAAUUCCCUUAAUAGUGAAGAAGGUAAAAUCUUCCAAAGAGUAUUACAUAUCUCCAAGCACAAUAUACCUUGAUAGAUAUACAGCAUACCUUUUCCUUAAUAUAGACAAAAUUCAGCAUAUUGUGGCAAUAAAAUAGGAAUACCAAAUGUGUCUUUUGCCAGUAUCAUUUCUUGAGGUGGCUACAGUCCCAUUCCCGUUUCUCUUUGAAAGAACUAAAUUCAAAGUGCACCUAACAGAGUGGUGGUUACUCAUAAAUCUGUUUUAUAUUCCAGAGUGUUGGAGGAGUGGGGAGAGAGAGUAGUUUCGGCUGAUGGGAUAUUGGUAGAAAAAAUGUAAGUUAUUUCAUUAAAGGUCCUUCU
rnacentral:lncRNA from 1 species